AACGAACGCUGGCGGCAUGCCUAACACAUGCAAGUCGAACGAGAUCUUCGGGUCUAGUGGCGCACGGGUGCGUAACGCGUGGGAAUCUGCCCUUUGGUUCGGAAUAACAGUUGGAAACGACUGCUAAUACCGGAUGAUGACGAAAGUCCAAAGAUUUAUCGCCAGAGGAUGAGCCCGCGUAGGAUUAGCUAGUUGGUGUGGUAAAGGCGCACCAAGGCGACGAUCCUUAGCUGGUCUGAGAGGAUGAUCAGCCACACUGGUACUGAGACACGGCCCAGAGUCCUACGGGAUGCAGCAGUGGGGAAUAUUGGACAAUGGACGAAAGCCUGAGCCAGCAAUGCCGCGUGAGUGAUGAAGGCCUUAGGGUUGUAAAGCUCUUUUACCCGGGAUGAUAAUGACAGUACCGGGAGAAUAAGCGCCGGCUAACUCCGUGCCAGCAGCCGCCGUAA
rnacentral:rRNA from 1 species